rnacentral:rRNA from 1 species
UACGAAGGGGGGCUAGCGUUGCUCGGAAUGACUGGGCGUAAAGGGCGCGUAGGCGGAUGGCACAGUCAGAUGUGAAAUUCCCGGGCUUAACCUGGGGGCUGCAUUUGAUACGUGUUGUCUAGAGUGAGGAAGAGGGUUGUGGAAUUCCCAGUGUAGAGGUGAAAUUCGUAGAUAUUGGGAAGAACACCGGUGGCGAAGGCGGCUCUCUGGACCGAUACUGACGCUGAGGCGCGAAAGCGUGGGGAGCGAACAGG